rnacentral:rRNA from 1 species
GCGCGACGCUCUCCCCAAGGACGAAGCCAUGCAUGCCCGCUCACCCGGGACGCGGCGGACGGCUCAGGACAACGGUUGCACCCCCCGCGGCGGUCCCUGCUAGCCGGACACCGCUGGCAACCCGGCGCCAAGACGUGCGCGCAAGGGCGGGCGCCCGCGGGCGAGCAGCGUGACGCAGCGACGGCCCGCCCGGGCUUCCGGGGCAUCACCCGGUCGGCGCGGUCGCGGCGCGCCGAGGGCCCGACGCCUGGCGGAGAAUCAGG